GUUUAAGCAUGGCGUAGUGGUUUGAGUGUUGGACUGCGACUCUGUAGACCGGGGUUUGAUUCCCAGCUUGGCCG